GUCCCGCCUGCCCUGUGACUAUAUGUUUAACGGCCGCGGUAUUUUGACCGUGCGAAGGUAGCGCAAUCACUUGUCUUUUAAAUGGAGACCUGUAUGAAAGGCAUCACGAGGGCUUAGCUGUCUCCCCUUUAAAGUCAAUGAAAUUGAUCUCCCCGUGCAGAAGCGGGGAUAUACUCGUAAGACGAGAAGACCCUAUGGAGCUUAAGAUAAAAGGCGAGUCAUGUCAAACACCCCCUCAAAGGAAAUGAACGAAAUGAUACCCCGCUGGAAUGUCUUCGGUUGGGGCGACCGCGGGGAAAGACAAAACCCCCACAUGGACCAGGGCCACUAUAGCCCUAAAACCUAGACCCACAGGUCAAGUCAACAGUAAAUCUGACCACCAAAGAGCCGGCAAUGCCGAUCAACGGACCGAGUUACCCUAGGGAUAACAGCGCAAUCCCCUCCCAGAGCCCUUAUCGACGAGGGGGUUUACGACCUCGAUGUUGGAUCAGGACAUCCUAAUGGUGCAGCCGCUAUUAAGGGUUCGUUUGUUCAACGAUUAAAGUCCUA
rnacentral:rRNA from 1 species